rnacentral:rRNA from 1 species
AGUGAACGCUGGCGGUAGGCCUAACACAUGCAAGUCGAACGGCAGCACAGUAAGAUCUUGCUCUUACGGGUGGCGAGUGGCGGACGGGUGAGGAAUACAUCGGAAUCUACUUUUCGUGGGGGAUCACGUAGGGAAACUUACGCUAAUACCGCAUCCGACCUACGGGUGAAAGCCGAGGAUCUUAGGACCUUUCGCGAUUGAAUGAGCCGAUGUCGGAUUAGCUAGUUGGCGGGGUAAAGGCCCACCAAUGCCACGACGCGUAGCUGGUCUGAGAGGGUGAUCAGCCACACUGGAACUGAGACACGGUCCAGACUCCUACGGGAGGCAGCAGUGGGGAAUAUUGGGCAAUGGGCGCAAGCCUGACGCAGCAAUACCGCGUGAGUGAAGAAGGCCUUCGGGUUGUAAAGCUCUGUUGUUGGGAAAGAAAAGCAGCAGGUGAAUACAUGGCUGUUCUGACGGUACCUAAAGAAUAAGCAACGGCUAACUACGUG